AUUGAACGCUGGCGGCAGGCCUAACACAUGCAAGUCGAGCGGAUGAAGGGAGCUUGCUCCUGGAUUCAGCGGCGGACGGGUGAGCAAUGCCUAGGAAUCUGCCUGGUAGUGGGGGAUAACGUCCGGAAACGGGCGCUAAUACCGCAUACGUCCUGAGGGAGAAAGUGGGGGAUCUUCGGACCUCACGCUAUCAGAUGAGCCUAGGUCGGAUUAGCUAGUUGGUGGGGUAAAGGCCUACCAAGGCGACGAUCCGUAACUGGUCUGAGAGGAUGAUCAGUCACACCGGAACUGAGACACGGUCCAGACUCCUACGGGAGGCAGCAGUGGGGAAUAUUGGACAAUGGGCGAAAGCCUGAUCCAGCCAUGCCGCGUGUGUGAAGAAGGUCUUCGGAUUGUAAAGCACUUUAAGUUGGGAGGAAGGGCAGUAAGUUAAUACCUUGCUGUUUUGACGUUACCAACAGAAUAAGCACCCGCUAACUUCGUG
rnacentral:rRNA from 1 species